CUCUCUCUCUCUCUCUCUCUCUCUCUCUGUCUCUCUCUCUCUCUCCCUCUCUCUCUCUCUCUCUGUGUCUCCUCAGCAGGAACAUUUGAAGUGAACGUGACUCAGCGCUUCUAUCAGUUAGAGGAGAACCAGAACGUCACUCUGGAGUGGACCUUCACACCCCAAGAUGACUCCUCACUUCACUCUCUUUUUAUCGUAUGUUUGAUCUUCACUGAUCACAAAGUCUUUGGCCUGUUUGAACUGAAGGGAGGAGUCGAGGUCUCAAAGUCUCAGGAUGAACAGUUUGCAGGACGAGUCCACUGGGACAAAGACGUCCUCAAAGAAGGACGACUCAGACUCCACGUGUCCUCGUUGAGGACUGAAGACUCGGGGCUAUACGUGUGUGAAGUGACGACAAACGUUGGUAUGGACGCUGGUUCAAUCCGUCUUAAUGUGACCGCAGCUGCUCAUGAGCCCCAAACUCAGAGACCAACAGGGAGACCAGGAGCAGAGAGUCGGGGAAGUCUUGUUCUCUACGCUGGACUGGUAAUGGGACUGUUACUGGUCCUGACAGCAUCAGCUGGACUGUUUCUCUGUGUCUUUAAAAAAGUUGGGGUUAAACCCUGGACUGUCAAUCACAGGUGUUGGAGCCAAAAUGCUUGUUUUUAUUGAUAAUUUGAAGAGUGUUCUAGCUUUCCCUCUGAUAACUUUCUUGCUGUGAGGAAGUAAUGCUAACCCCCCCCACCACCACCACCACCACCAAGCAGCUGUACAAUCAUCCAGUCGACUUUCAUGAGUAAAGCUCCUAUCAUCAUUUGAAACGUUACUUCAAGAUGGUUCACAAAAGAGACCCAUCAGGACUACAAGAACCCCUUUCUGUCUGAAUGUGUUGUUCCAGAACCUUUGUUUAGAAAAUCAUGAUAUUGAAAUGUUUCUCAUGUGGUUCAUAUGUUACGUGUAUUCUGUUGUGUUCUGAUGGAUGUUGUUACAAACCUCUGACCUUCAAUAAUCUUUAUUUAUAAUGUUUAGACUGUUAAAUAAAUCCUCAUGAUCA